rnacentral:rRNA from 1 species
AGUAAUACAUAAGUAACCUGCCCUAGACAGGGGGAUAACUAUUGGAAACGAUAGCUAAGACCGCAUAGGUACGGACACUGCAUGGUGACCGUAUUAAAAGUGCCUCAAAGCACUGGUAGAGGAUGGACUUAUGGCGCAUUAGCUGGUUGGCGGGGUAACGGCCCACCAAGGCGACGAUGCGUAGCCGACCUGAGAGGGUGACCGGCCACACUGGGACUGAGACGCGGCCCAG